GAUGAACGCUAGCGGAAGGCUUAAUACAUGCAAGUCGAGCGGUAGGUGGCUUCGGCCAUUGAGAGCGGCGCACGGGUGAGUAACGCGUACAUGACCUGCCUGUCAGAAGGGGAUAGCCCUGGGAAACUGGGAUUAAUACCCUAUGGUAUUGAUAUUAUGAAUGAUAUCAAUUAAAGUUGAGGCGCUGACAGAUGGAUGUGCGUCUGAUUAGCUAGUUGGUAGGGUAACGGCCUACCAAGGCGACGAUCAGUAGGGGGCGUGAGAGCGUGGUCCCCCACACGGGUACUGAGACACGGACCCGACUCCUACGGGAGGCAGCAGUAAGGAAUAUUGGUCAAUGCCCGCAAGGGUGAACCAGCCAUUCCGCGUGGAGGAUGAAGGCCCUAUGGGUUGUAAACCUCUUUCAGCACAGACGAAGCGCAAGUGACGGUAUGUGCAGAAGAAGGACCGGCCAACUACGUGCCAGCAGCCGCGGUAAU
rnacentral:rRNA from 1 species